AUGAUCGAGCAUGGCAUUUUCCCUUCGGUCAUGGAGGAGAGUGAUGAUGUACUAUCUUCGGCCUUCAUCCAUGGCGACAGCGAUGAGAUGGUUGAGUAUUUCACCUCGACCACGGCGAUGUAUGAUGACUUGAGUUACUUUAGCCACCAUAUUGAGAGUGAGAGUGACUUCACCACUAGCCACAUAUAUGAUGUGUUACCCCAAUUCCCAUGUGAGGAGAGCCACAACCCCCACCACUUGAGUGAGAUUAGUGACUCCACCAUAUGUGACUUUGAGUGCACCCAUUUUGAGGGGGUGAGUGAACCACCAAAUAGAGAGAGUGUGAUAGUUGAUAGGGCAUGUGAGGCCACUAUGAUUUCUAACGAUUUAACCUCUACCUCUAUUGUGUCUUCUCAUUUGGUGCUAGGUCCCAUAUAUGAUGACGUGCCGAUCCUCAACGACUUCGUCCCCUCUUUGGACAAGACGAUGGCCAUUGUGGAAUAUGAUGCACCCCCCACAUGGUUCCAUCAAGAUGAAGAUGACCACCAUUUGGUCUUUGCCACCUCACCUAGACCACUUGAGUGGAAUGAACAAGGUAACAUAAGUGAAGGUGAUGCUCUAGUCCCACUAGUGGACAUUCUUGACAUUGAUUGCGUGCAUGAUGUUGAUCCACCUAUUUCCAUGAAUCAUGCUAGUGCGACUUCCUCGUGUGAUGAUUUCUUGCCCAUUUUUGAUGAGUAUGAGGAUUACCAUGUGGAGUCUAUUAGUUGUGAUGCCAUGUUACAUAGGAUUUCUUGUGACAAUUCUUUAGGUCACAUCAUGUUUGACAACCCGCUUGACUUGUCAUAUGCUAUGCAUGAGAUCACCAUAUGUCAUAUUUGCAAUCUCAUCGUAGUGAUUAUGCAUAUGCCAUUAAAAUAA
rnacentral:rRNA from 1 species